rnacentral:rRNA from 1 species
GACGAACGCUGGCGGCGUGCCUAAUACAUGCAAGUAGGACGCAGUUGCGAACGGGUGAGUAACGCGUAGGUAACUACCUAUUAGAGGGGGAUAACUAUUGGAAACGAUAGCUAAUACCGCAUACUAGUAGAUGGACCUGCGUUGUAUUAGCUAGUAGGUAGGGUAAUGGCCUACCUAGGCAACGAUGCAUAGCCGACCUGGGCGGGGUAGCGGGCACACUGGGAAUUGGAAAACGCCCAGACUCCUAAGGGGGGCAGCAGUAGGGAAUCUGCGGCAAUGGGGUGAACCCUGACCGAGCAACGCCGCGGGAGUGAAGAAGGGUUUCGGAUCGUAAAGCUCGGUUGUUAAGGAAGCGGUACUUAACCAGAAAGGGACGGCUAACUACGUGCCAGCAGCCGCGGUAAUUC